rnacentral:lncRNA from 1 species
UUCAUCUCCUUCUUCCCUUUUCUUUCUUACUUUUACUUUUGUUUUGGGGAGGUUAUGAUGUCAUCGGUUCACUUUUGGCCUUCCAUACAAAGGGUCAACAUAAACCUUCAUGUCAUCUUAUGCGGUUAGUAUGAAUAGUCAAAGGAUGAUUGUUCUUCUCCAUCUUGUAUUCGAUAUUGGUUUAUCUAUGACUGUUUAGAUUAAUUUCCACCUUCUCAUGUUCCAUCAUCUUUGUUUUUCCAAUUUUUUUGUAGGAUGUGCGAAAGGGAUGACAAGUCUUCUUCCUUCUUCUCCCUCUAUCUUCUUGCACUAGAGUGUUAUGUUAAUACAAAUGUUUUAUGAAAUCAUGUUUAAUUAAUAAUACGUGAUGGAUUAUCAAAUUUUGUUGUCAAUUUUAAAUAAUAACAUUUACAAUUAUGUCAUUUUAAUAAAUUUAGUUGAAUCUGAACAAAACUGGGUUAAAAAAAAUAUCAAAUGCACUUCGAACUACAAAAUUCAAUCGAAGUAAAAUUGUCAAAUUAGAAGGCGUGCGAAAAGGACCUAUAACUUAUGGAGGUAUAAGUAGGCUAAUGUUCUACCACCGCAUUACUUUUGACCACACUCCCUUAGCCAAACCACAAUGGAGAAGGAUGUGAACCGUCGUCUCCACUGCAUCACCACACCACUCACAAAAGACUGACGACUCGAUAGGCAAGACAUCCCUAAUCCGGAGAUUAUACUUAGAAGGAAUACUAUCAUGAAGGGCCUUCCAUGAAAAACCUAUAACUUUUAACCGUGCUGGAUUCUUCCAAAUGCUCCCAAACACUAAAAAAAUCAAUCAAAUGAUGCGGCAGAUGAAGGAACAAGUAGAAAUUUGAACAAGUAUUCACCAAAAAAAAGAGAUGCAGGAACAAGAAUAACCAAUAUAUUUCUAUUAUGUAUACAUGUAUGAAAUUGAUAUCAAGUACUCAAUCACUAAAAUGGAAUAAACCAGAAGAAUAUGUAUAAAAAUUCCAAUAUACCGUAAUUCAUAUACCAUUAAUUUUCUCUGUUACAUAUAUACGCAUACAAUUUGAAUAGUGGAGAUACAAUCGUGCAAUAGAAAAUUGAACUUUCUAUAGUCCAUAACAAUGGCAAGACCAGGCUCCACUGUGGCUAAAUGGGCCACAAACACCUCAGAUCAAGCAAUAAACCAUUCUCAAACUACAACAUAGUGUUAU